GUUGUUGGUUAACGUGGCUAUUGUGUUGUCCUGUUGAACGCAACUUUGGGGUUUGGAGUGAGUUUCUACGCGAGACCUGGGUGGGCUCGUCGCUAGCGUUUCUGUUAGCAUUUUGCGAAGUCAUUUUGUCUUGACGAUCAAGUAUCAUUUCAGCGUUGGGCUCGCUCAAGUACUUUCUUGGACAUAUGGGAUGGAUGCAUGGAUUGAUGGAUGGAUAUUGGAUAAACAACAUUGCUCUCUGGAUGUGUGUCUUCAGCCCGUUGGCGGGUGGUCACAAUGGGUAACGUUUGAAAUGGCGGAUAGAGAUUUAUGCAGCUGACGUCAACAAGCGUGCUUGCGGGAUUUUGUGCUUCCGUUUUAAACAAUCGGAUGCCGCUUGAUAAAGCUCAUCGUAUUUUCCCAGCGUUUUGUCUGGAGCUCAUUGUUUACGUUAUACGUACAAAUGCAUACUUUUGUCCUCUAAUUGACCGAUGUUGUGUAUAUAGCAGUAUUCCUCAGCCUCUAUUGAGCCAAGGCACAUAUUUAAUAUUACAAAAAUCUUAUGGCGAACUACCAAUCAAAAAGUGUUACAAAAGUUUAUACAGUAGUGCCUUCAGAUACGAGUUUAUUUCGUUCCGUGACCAUGCUGCUUUUAAUUGAAAACACUUGUCUAAAAUCAUUAGUCCCCAUUGACAUUGAAUGAAAAUACCAUUCUGUUCCAGCCGACCGCUCCCAUAUUUUUUUGUUUUUGUUUUUCACCAAUUAAAUGUAUCUUUCUAUAAUAUCGUGCCGUAUAAAAACAGAGUAAUAAAAAGCAUUAGACAACUUGUGACUAGGUGGAAUGGUGGAAGACACAUCUGCCUCACAGUUCUGAGGCCCGGGGUUCAAAUCCCGGCCCCGCCUCUGUGGAGUUGGCAUGUUCUCCCCAUGCCUGCAUUGGUUUUCUCCGGGCACUCCGGUUUCCUCCCACUUUCCAAAAACAUUAAUCGUAGGUUGAUUGAGGACUCAAAAUUGCCCUUAGGUGUGAAUGUGUGUGCGAAUGGUUGUUUGUUUAUAUGUGCCCUGCGAUUGGCUGGCGACCAGUUCAGGGUGUUUCCCCGCCUCUCGCCCAAAGAUUGCUGGGAUAGGCUCCAGCACGCUCGCGACCCUAUUGAGGAUAAGCGGAACGGAAGAUGAAUGAAUGAACUUGUGACUACGGUUUGAUUAGAUGAUUGUUUGAAGCCAAACUUGCUAAAAUGUUGUUUUCUUUAUGGCUGGUGUCUUCGGACAAAGUUAAACACGUUUUUAUAUAUACACACAUACGUUUUUGAUAUAUGUCAACAUGAAUGAAGGCUAAACAUGGAAUAUUGUCAUCUAUGGGACUUUGUAGACGUUUCAAGUCCCUGCGGUUGCUUUGUCCCUCUUCUCCAUUUACCCGACUUGGGAGAAACUCGUUUUACCGAAUGCGUAGUAGGUUGCGCAUAUACUGUGGUCAGUGUGCUGCGCGUUCUGGUGUGCACACCUUGGCUGCCAUGAGACAGUAGUUAGUGUAUAAUAUUGUACAGUCAUGUGUUAAACGAAGAACAGACUUAUUCUUCUACUAUAUUACUUCUCAGUAAGUUGCUGUAAUAGUAAUUUUUUUUAUAGAGGAUGAAGAAUAUGCUCAAGUUUUGUUAUCUUUUUGUGUAAUGACUAUUGAUGCUAAUUGAAUAUCAAUUGCAUUUUCUGUUUGUUGGCAUUAAGCUAGCGGACAUGAAGACAGUUAUUUGGUUGUUUAAAAUACGCCAACAUGUAAUUCUUCAUGUUCAGUUUGACAAACUUCAACUGGGAGUGGCAUUUAACAAUUUGAUGACUCUUGAUGAAAUGUUUACUAUUUGCCAAAAAUGCUGCUUAUUGUGAAGUGAGUUGAAUUGAGUUUUUAUUGCCACCACAAAAUACUUGUAUCUUAAGUUUGCGCUCCCAAGUUAAGGCAAAAAUUCGUCUGAAUGUUAGCUUGUAUCUCACAACUUGUAAGUCGAGUCAGUCGUAUCUCAAGGCACCACUCUAUACAGAAAUUCUGAUCUAUGUAGCUAAACACAAAGCUGAUAUAUGUGCAGGAUUUGAAGAAAGACAGAGCUUAAUAAUUUUUGGAUCAUUUAAGUGAAAUUUUAUAAUUUCAUAGGACACACCUGAUCUCUUAAUGCACAUUGUGGUUUGGAAUCCCUGGUAUAUACAGUACAUCUACUUAUUGGUUUAUAUUUUGCGUGGUACUUACUGCAGUAAUUGAAGUAGUGCGAUGUUAGGGUGCUUGUCCCAGUGGUGGACAAUCACAUUGUAAUGUGCCCUUUCCGACCCUUUUGUGUGGUGAACAAAAGUGGUGGUGGGGGGACCGCGUUGCUUAAUUGUGACUGGUCACGACUGGAAUUUUAUUUUGUAUUGUGGCACACUGAGGAUACAAUAUUGUUGGUGUACUGAAUGAUAGUGGGACAGACGGAGGCUGUCAAACACAAUGUGUUUUUUGUCAAUUGAUUGUCUGGUUCUUUUUUUAAAAGUCAUCAUCAAAGUAUUUGUAAGUAGGCAAGUGGUUGAAAAUGUACAAAUGUAGCCUAAAUGUGUUGAGUGAAUUGGAUUUGCAAGAUUGAGGUUCUCUAGGCACAUGCGGACAGAGAGCUGCUUUGAUCAUAUACAGUGCCGUGAGAAAGUAUUUGCUGCCUUCUCAAAUUCUUAUUUUUUUUUGCAUAGUUUCCCCACUCUAAUGGUUAAGAUCAUCAAACAAAUGUAAAUAAUAUACAAAGGUAACCCAUGUAAACAUAAAAUGCAGUUUUUAAAUGGUGAUUGUGUUAAGGGAAAAAAAAUCAAUUCAAACCUACCUUGUCCUGUGUGAAUACGUAAAUGCCCCCUUGUUAAAUCAUGAAUUAACUGUAGCUAAUCACAUUUUUUGGAAGGCUGAGUUCAUUUUUAAUUAGGCUUUACACGAUCAGGAUUUUUGGGACUGAUAUUGCAUGUUUACGUACAACCGUUAAGUGCUAGGACUAGCUUGCUAGGCUACAUAACGUUUUUGUUGCCUGCUUGCGAGCCGUAUCGUAUUAAAAGUACGUGAACAUACCUCAAGCAAGCCUUAAACGAACGUCCAAAAUAUCUCCACAGAGAUGUGAAAGACUCACUGCCAGUUCUAGAAAACGCCUUAUUUCAGUUGUUGCUGCUGGGGAUGGUCUUAGCAGUUAUCAGGUUUAGGAGGCAAUUACUUUAUCCACAGAGCAAGGUAGCUUUGAAUUUUUUUGUCUUUAACUAAAAACUGAAUUUUAUGAUUACUUGGGUUAUCUUUCUGAUAUUUAUGUUUAAUGAUCUUAAUAUUAAAGUGGGGAAACGAUGCCAAAAAAAUGAAGGGGGCAAAUACUUUUUGACGGCACUUUAUACAGUAUACAAGGCAUGACAACUUUUUUGCUCACCAGCCAUUGUGGCUACUGGUUUCCCAGCAUUACUAGAAACACAAAAAUACAUUUGCUGAUGGUGCUAAAACUUUUUUCCAGAUCAAAAUAAAUUUAUCAAAGGGGGGUGAUUGCAAGAACUCUUCCCGGGUGGCAUUGAGAGAAAUCUUUCUGGAUUUAAAUUAGGGUUGCCACAAGCAAUUAUUUUGAUAAUCGACUAGUCACCGAUUAUUUUUGCCUUUAGUUGACUUCAUAAGCUUCAAUUUAGACAUGACCCGAUUCCAAGGGUCAUGUCUAAAUUGAAGCUUAUUGCAUCAGCAAGUAGAUGCUCUUAUAUAACCAUCAUCAUCUUCCAGUUUGUGUUAAAGGUAUGUGCACAAUGAAAGUAAUAGAUCAUUCAAGUUGUAAUACUUUGUAGCUUGUACCAGCAUUCUUGAAAUGGUUCAUAAUUUUUAUAUAUGAUAGUGCAAAUUUUAAUGAAGGUAAUACCCUGGCCUUUUAACAUGUUAGCUUGUACAUAGCGAAAAUCGUCUAAUUGACACCCAUUAUAAUUGCAUUGAAGAAACAAAAAUAAAAAAUCUCAUGAAAAUCAAUUGUGAAAUGAGCAAGUUAUGACUUAUUUUCAGUGUACGCAUUGCCUUUGAUGGGAACGUUGCUGCCACCAAGAUGGCCGCCACGAAGGCAUGUUGGUUGCAUGCUGUUACAUCGCACUGGCGUAUCGCGUGUUCUAUCCAUAUGUGGUUAUAACUUUACAUCAAACAUAUAACCUAUGUGCUAGAGCUAAUGGAAUCAUCAUCGUUAGCCUUAAGAUAAUGUUAAAGUUUGCAGUUUUAAGAAAGUUUCUUCACUAACGGUGACGUUAAUAUUAACAGCUAGCUAGCCAUAUAGCUAACCGCGGUUAUUAUCCUUUGUUAGAAAUUGAAUCGCUCCAAUGUACUUGCUUUUUAGAUACUUGUGAAUGACUGACUGUCAUACUGCCAUGAAGGACAAGUUCCUUCUUGCAAGUUGUGCAUCAUAUUCCUCUUUAGUAUUUUUGGUGAAAUGAUCAAACUUUUGGCCUUUGUUUCUAACGCAGGUUAGCCAAGAUUACAGUUAGCCGCAGUUUUUUCAGUUCAUUCACGGCCGACAUGGAUUACCACUACUGCGCAUGUGCGUCAAGUGCAGAAGGCAGACGUCAGCGGGAGGCUCCUGAGGCAGUUCUGAGAGUAAAACAAACGUUAAAAAAAGAAUAAAUGUCGAUUAUCAAAUUAAUUGUACUGCCACAUCUUAAAAUCACCCACAUUUGGCGGGUUUGUGGGUGUUAAUGUCCAGCCUUUAAAACACUUAAUUUGUGGUAGUCUUAAACUUUUUGGGAUGGUUUUCCACUUUUUCUUUCCAGGACAGAAUGUAUGGUACAGAAAUGUUGCUUUUUCCAAAGGUAUUUGUUGUAGACUUCUGAAAAAUACUUCCUUAGUGUGAUGGACAACACUUGGGUGGCUCAACAAUCUUGGUUGAAAUGGUUGUACCAGCAAUGGCUACGAUAGAGUUCUUCAUGGAUGGGAGUAUUUUGGGGAAACUGUUGCUUUAUUUUGUUAGAUGUGAUGUUUCUGAGGACUCAAGGUCUAUUGGAGUUUCUUCACCAAUCAGUAUUGUUUGCAAGCUACAUAUUCGGUAAUAGCAGAUGUGUGAUUGAUUAAAAAUGGUUAGUUUCUCUGCAUCUAAUGUAAGUGGUGCCAGAGGCAGUGGUGAAUUUGGCAGUUUAUGUUGUAUAUGUUUAGACUGACUUGUGCUACCGGCAAAUGUGAGAGUAAGUGGUGGCAAAUGGAGUCAAAUGUGGGCAGUGACGGGCAACGGUAAUGUUUCUUUGCCAGAAUCAAAACUUUUAUCUCACAUGAUUUUUGACAUGCUGGGUAUUUUGAAGAGUUCCAUGUGGAUUGGCAUUUCAGUUGGAACUGAAUGUAGUUAUUAGUGUCUUUGUGAAUAUAGUUGCUCAAAAACAAGGGGAUUGAUACUUGGGAGCUAAUCUUGUGGUGGUCAGUUGUCCACUUAUCCACAGCAGUACUUUAAUGCUGUUGUGCUUAGUGUUGCCAUUUUGAGUGUUUGGGUUCAAAUACAUUUUUAGACUUUUUGUCUUCAAUUAAAUACCUCAGCUCACAUUGCUUAUCAGGUCAUGUGGUGAUGUUGGAAUGGCAGAGAGUUUAGAGCUGAGAAGCUCUGAUGGGAAUAAUGCUAUUCUAUACCCUUCUGUCUGCAGGUGCUGUUGUUUGUGCUUCAGCAUGGCAGUCGUCAUCCGUUUACAGGGAUUGAGGAUCACUGCUGGUUCUCAGGAUGUUCGCAAAUUCUUCACUGGACUCAAAAUUCCAGACGGUGGUGUACACAUAAUUGGAGGCGAGCGGGAGGAAGCUUUCAUUAUUUUUGCUUCUGAUGAAGAUGCAAGAAGAGCCAUGACGCGCUCGGGGGGUCAAAUUAAGGGGGGACAUGUGACUUUGCUGCUCAGUAGCAAAGCAGAGAUGCAGGGCAUACUUGAAAAAAGUGCCAUAAAUACAGAGACUGAUCAAAAGAGUCAUGUAGAAGACAACACAAGGCACCCCCGACGGUCUUUGGAGGCUGACUCCAACAAGAGGUCUGCAAGUAGAGCAGACGUCUCUCCUCCACCCCGCCAAAAGAGACCCUCAAACUCAAAUGAAGACUCCACAUGUGUUUUUCUGAAAGGAUUGCCCUUCAGUGUGUCCGAAAGAGACAUUUUUGAAUUUUUCAAUGGUUUACGUAUCAUCGACAUGGUUCUGUUGAAAAAUGCAACCGGAAAAAACAAUGGGAUGGGACUGGUGAGAUUUUCCAGCACUGGAGAAGUAUCUGAAGCCCUGAAGAGGGAUAGGGGAUACAUUGGUUCUCGGUAUGUGGAGAUUUGUCCAACGUCAGAAGACGAUUGGCGUCGGACAACUGGAAGGAAACCCAUGAAUACAAACCCAGGAGACAACCUGUUUGAAAGACAUGGAUCACCACCUCGUGGUCAAAAGAAUUUCCAACACCAUAUGAGGUCACAAUCACCUAUAGGCCAGAGGGUGUCAUCAUCCAGUGAGGAGUACUGCGUUUUGGUGGAAAAUAUCUCCUUUGCAGUGGAAAAGGAGGACAUAAAAAUACUUUUUCGCCACGCUAGACUUGAUGAUGACCAGAUUUUGUUCAUAAAUUAUGAAGAUCGGAAAAGUAGGUCUGCGUUUGUACUCUUUAAGUCUCUGCGGGAGUAUCGUGAGGCAUUAGACCAGGAUACGCAAUCCUUUUUCAGUCGAAUGAUUCAUAUCCGGCCAAUCAUGAGAGAGAAAAUGAUAGCCAUUUUGAAAUCUCAGAACCUGGAUGUCGGCCCUUCUGGAAACUCCAGAAGGGUUAAUGAGAGGCCUCCAUCCCACCCCAGGGAUAAUCCUGACCCGGAGCAGUGCUUGCUUGUGCAAAAUCUGCCCUUCGACGUGCGCAAAAUGGAGGUCAUGGACAUCUUCUUUGGGUUGAAUAUCUCGGAAGAUGACGUGCACUUGCUGCGUGACAAUACUGGUGCAGGGACUGGCAAGGCUUUGGUUCUUUUCCCUUCCGAGUCAGCAGCCGUGAGGGGCCUCGCUCUCGACGGACGAAGGUUUCUUGGUGCGGUGGUCUCUCUCAGAUGCAUUUCCCGCGCACAGAUGCGGGAGUUGAUCGCAGGGCCGCAGGCGGUCCACGGGCCACAACGAACAUCCAGUGAGUUCCAAGGCGCUGGUGACAGUGAGUACUAUGGCUUCGGGGGCUCUUAUGCUGGUGAGAUGGCAAUAAAUGUGGGGCCUCAAACUCAGGGAGCCUUUAAGUCUUAUGAAGAGCCACUCAACAGAGGCAAUGGUGCUCAAAGCAGCGGUGAUCCACCGAGGCAGCAUUUUACUGGGCCCACCUGUGUAAAGCUAGUUAAUUUACCAUUCCAAAUAAAAACGGAAGAAAUCUAUGAUUUUUGCCAUGGAUAUCGUAUUAUCCCAGGAUCCAUCUCAUUGCAGUACGACAGGAGUGGAGCAUUUAAAGGUACUGCGACUGUGGUAUUUGAGACUAGGCAGGAGGCAGUGAUAGCAGUCGAGGAACUCAAUGGGAGGCCAAUAGGUGCUCGAAAGAUUCAGCUGCUGUUUGUUUGAAAGUGACUUUGGGUUUUUGACACAGCCAACCUGCUCAAGUGGUCUGGUUUGAACACGUGAUUCUCUGUCGAGGAAAAUUUUGUUUUUUUAGACGAACACUUUGUGAUGUUUUUUGUUUUUGUCAUAUUUUGUGAUAAUUGGUGAAGGCUGUGUAUUCACCUUUUGAAUGAUUUUAGUCACUGAUGUGCAUUUGCAACAAAACUUUCAUCUUGCAUAACAUUUGACUGCAUCCAGGGGAAAGUCCCAUUAUAUUACUUUGUCAGCUCUUUAUUGUAAUGUUUAUUAAAAAUACACUGCUUUCAAUUAAUUUGUCCUCCUUUUACUGUAACCAAUAUACAAUACAAUACAAUAUAACCAAUUUGCUCAUGACAUCUUUUUGUCUCAUGUAUAAAAAAUACGCGUUUGUGUGUUCUUUGCCUCACCCACUAAUAAUUUGACCUACGUUUUUUUUUUUGGGUUCAAAUAAAGAGUGGAAGCUACAUUUUGCAUUGCUUAAAAAGACGUUACCGAUCCUGAAAAUCACGAGACCACCACUAGUUGACAAAUGAGCUUUAUUUUGAAACUACUAGCUUUAUUUUGAAACUACCGGAUAUAUAUAUGUAUAUAUAUAUAUUUUUUUUAGCUUGAUGGAGGGUGGUGACUGACUAUUAAACGCGCAGGAGCAUCGAAGGAAGAAGUACAACAGGUGAAUUAAUUUAGUGUAAAUACUACAUGCGAAUUAAUUUCUUGGUGGAAAUACAAAACAAGUUACUGCGGGCAUACGACAAAAACCUGAAAGUGUCAAUGUGCAAAACCCUGUAUAUGGUAAUGUUAAAGUUCAAGUACCGCCAUCAACAGACAGUCAAACUAGUUGUAAAAUAAAAGUCAAAAAUAUGGAUACGUUUAACUAAAACUGAAUGUUAAGUUGUGAAAGAUGCAACAGCUAGCCUUCAUCUAUUGACGCGCUUUGGAAAAUUGGGACUCUCGGGAUUUUCAACGGCUAACGUGACAAAUAUUCAAUAAAAAAAACAAAAAAACACCCCCACCCCAAAAAAAAAAAUCACUUUGUGAGCAGGAAACUUUUGUAAACUCGAAAUAAUGUUAAAUCCCAAUUAACCGUGUUGUUGGCUCCAUCCUUAAGCUAAUGUGGCUUAGCAGCAGAUUUUGCCCUGCUGCUAAAAUAAGCGAAGUGAAUUUUUUGAUAAUAUAAUUUAAGUAACCCGUUUGUAGUUGAACCAUCGUUUAGCACUGAAUGUCGGCAGUACACGCACACUAGCAAGCGCAAUUUGUGAAAUGGACUUAAAACAGACAAAAUGUACCAUUUUUGUAGCACUUGUGUGAAACAGUUUAGCUUCGAGCGUAAUUUGCUAUGCAAACAUGAAAAAAAAAGAAAAUUUACUUGGCAGUCAACCGUAAAAUAAAUGAAGUAGGCAAUAACGUAGUAAAUUCAAAAUGUAAAUGGUUUGUGUGAUGGGUUCAUUUAAGUUAAUGCAAUGAGACACGAGGUGGGUUCGUUAAAUGUAGUUAGUCUAAUGGACCUUGAGGUACAGUGCUCAACAUACUGCAUAAGUGCACACCUCAUAUGUUUGUUAGACAGCCUUGUGAUAUUGCACUUAAAACUACUCCCACAAAUGUGUACUAUUCGUUGCAAAUGAAAUUUGUCAACAUGCACAGACGGGAAUGUUUGUAUUAAGUACAGGCCAAUAAAUCUAGUAAAGCUUCAUUUUAGAUUAAACUAGUCUCGUUCACAAGAAUUCAACCCCAUGAGCGUGUACGCAAAUAAAAUUCCGGAAAAGGUUCUAAUCCUGACUGAGUAAUGGCCGAAAAGCUUGCUUUUCAAAGCGUGUGAACUCAUUUUGGCCAAAGUUAGCUGAGAAAGGCUCCCGUUCACUAGCAGCUCGUGGAAACGGAUGAAUGUGUUUAUGAACCUAAUAAGUCGAGAAGCACAUUUCAAUAUUAUUGAGGUCAGAAUGGACGUGUCAAGGAGACAAAUCCAGAAGCACCUGGAACCCGCAAGACCCCUACGCCGUCUUCUCCAUGUUGACAUUGAACCCACACUAAAUGCUGCUUCGUGUACACAGGCUUUGAAUGACAUUCUGGAUCAAACGACAAAUAUUGAAAUAGAGCAGUUCUGCAAGAUUGUCAACCUCCAAGAGAAAAAAGCGAGAGUAUCUUACACAAGAGAUUUUUUAAUCGGUCUUGCGAGUAGUCCCGCGGCCAUGAAGAAGCCUGAGUGUUUACCAGACCACCCUGUCGUCUUACCCAGUGCACAGAAAUAUCCAAGAUAUCUGUGGGUCAAUGAAACCAAUGGAAAUUAUAGAAAAGAGGUCGCGGGGUGUCGGAGCCUAUCCCAGCUGACGUCUGGCGAAAGGCGGACUACACCCUGAACUGGUCAACAAAAAGAGAUUGAUAAGCAUUCACAUGGUCACCGAGUGGAAACUGAACCCAGACUGCCUGCACUGAAGUCAGGAGAAGAAUGUACCACUACACCAUUAGUGACGUUUGACCCUUUUCCAAAACCUUUUAUUUAACUGAAUGUUUAUUUUAUUUUUAUUUAUUUUGUUUGUUUUGAGUUCACAUGUUCAAAAUAAAGAGUUCAGUCAAUCUGCAGCAAGGGAUCAUGUUGAAAACAAUUAAGUUCUAUUCAUUGAAGACAAACACAAACUGAACUCCAGGCUACUUUCUAUAAUUUUCAGAAACGCAAAUGACUCAUUGUGUAAAGAAAUCAAUCAUUUUUCAACUUUAUGAUCACAACAUCUUAACGAUGGCAGGGUUAGGACAAGAAGCUUUACUUUUGCCACAUAUACGCUACCUUCAAGAUCAAACGUCAGAGGGGAUGUUGAGACCAACCAGAUUCAUUAUGAUACUGUAUUUGAUUCCACACAAUAUGCUUGAAAUUUUGAUUAGGUUGCAACUUUAGGCUUUUGGUGAUAACCCUAAUGAGGAGAAGCGGCUCAGAAAAGGGAUGGAUGGAUGUAUUUUGAUGUGAAAAGUGUUUGUAAAAGUACUGUUAACCGACCCCUGCUUAGUUGACUUUUUCUGUGCCUUAUUGGAUUUAUAUUUUAACUUAGCUAUUGUUACUUCUCAUUAUUUAUUUAACCUAUUAUGUAUACUUUAUUUCCAAGAAACAAUAACCACUCUCAUCUCAUGGAAUUGUAUAUUUGUGUUUUGAUUGCUGUUUGCUACUGUAUUUUAUGACGGUGUUCGAUAAAAGAGGCCCAAGAUGGAUGCUUACA